rnacentral:rRNA from 1 species
UUUAUGGAGAGUUUGAUCCUGGCUCAGAGUGAACGCUGGCGGCGUGCCUAAUACAUGCAAGUCGAACGAUGAAGCUUCUAGCUUGCUAGAGUGCUGAUUAGUGGCGCACGGGUGAGUAACGCAUAGGUUAUGUGCCUCUUAGUUUGGGAUAGCCAUUGGAAACGAUGAUUAAUACCAGAUACUCCCUACGGGGGAAAGAUUUAUCGCUAAGAGAUCAGCCUAUGUCCUAUCAGCUUGUUGGUAAGGUAAUGGCUUACCAAGGCUAUGACGGGUAUCCGGCCUGAGAGGGUGAACGGACACACUGGAACUGAGACACGGUCCAGACUCCUACGGGAGGCAGCAGUAGGGAAUAUUGCUCAAUGGGGGAAACCCUGAAGCAGCAACGCCGCGUGGAGGAUGAAGGUUUUAGGAUUGUAAACUCCUUUUGUUAGAGAAGAUAAUGACGGUAUCUAACGAAUAAGCACCGGCUAACUCCGUGCCAGCAGCCGCGGUAAUACGGAGGGUGCAAGCGUUACUCGGAAUCACUGGGCGUAAAGAGCGCGUAGGCGGGAUAGUCAGUCAGGUGUGAAAUCCUAUGGCUUAACCAUAGAACUGCAUUUGAAACUACUAUUCUAGAGUGUGGGAGAGGUAGGUGGAAUUCUUGGUGUAGGGGUAAAAUCCGUAGAGAUCAAGAGGAAUACUCAUUGCGAAGGCGACCUGCUGGAACAUUACUGACGCUGAUUGCGCGAAAGCGUGGGGAGCAAACAGGAUUAGAUACCCUGGUAGUCCACGCCCUAAACGAUGGAUGCUAGUUGUUGGAGGGCUUAGUCUCUCCAGUAAUGCAGCUAACGCAUUAAGCAUCCCGCCUGGGGAGUACGGUCGCAAGAUUAAAACUCAAAGGAAUAGACGGGGACCCGCACAAGCGGUGGAGCAUGUGGUUUAAUUCGAAGAUACACGAAGAACCUUACCUAGGCUUGACAUUGAGAGAAUCCGCUAGAAAUAGUGGAGUGUCUGGCUUGCUAGACCUUGAAAACAGGUGCUGCACGGCUGUCGUCAGCUCGUGUCGUGAGAUGUUGGGUUAAGUCCCGCAACGAGCGCAACCCCCUUUCUUAGUUGCUAACAGGUUAUGCUGAGAACUCUAAGGAUACUGCCUCCGUAAGGAGGAGGAAGGUGGGGACGACGUCAAGUCAUCAUGGCCCUUACGCCUAGGGCUACACACGUGCUACAAUGGGGUGCACAAAGAGAAGCAAUACUGCGAAGUGGAGCCAAUCUUCAAAACACCUCUCAGUUCGGAUUGUAGGCUGCAACUCGCCUACAUGAAGCUGGAAUCGCUAGUAAUCGCAAAUCAGCCAUGUUGCGGUGAAUACGUUCCCGGGUCUUGUACUCACCGCCCGUCACACCAUGGGAGUUGUGUUUGCCUUAAGUUAGGAUGCUAAAUUGGCUACUGCCCACGGCACACACAGCGACUGGGGUGAAGUCGUAACAAGGUAACCGUAGGUGAACCUGCGGUUGGAUCACCUCCUUUCUAGA